UGCGCAGGCGGCGGUUCGCGUGGAUAGGUGAAAUCUCCUGGCUUACCUGGGAGGAUGGUAUCCAGACGGGAUCGCUUGAGGGUCGGAGAGGGGCGUGGAAUUCCGGGUGGAGCGGUGAAAUGCGUAGAGAUCCGGAGGAACACCGACGGCGUAGGCAGCGCCCUGGACGACACCUGACGCUGAGGCACGAAAGCUGGGGGAGCAAACA
rnacentral:rRNA from 1 species